GAUGAACGCUGGCGGCGUGCCUAAUACAUGCAAGUCGAGCGAACAGACGAGGAGCUUGCUCCUCUGACGUUAGCGGCGGACGGGUGAGUAACACGUGGAUAACCUACCUAUAAGACUGGGAUACCUUCGGGAAACCGGAGCUAAUACCGGAUAAUAUAUUGAACCGCAUGGUUCAAUAGUGAAAGACGGUUUUGCUGUCACUUAUAGAUGGAUCCGCGCCGCAUUAGCUAGUUGGUAAGGUAACGGCUUACCAAGGCAACGAUGCGUAGCCGACCUGAGAGGGUGAUCGGCCACACUGGAACUGAGACACGGUCCAGACUCCUACGGGAGGCAGCAGUAGGGAAUCUUCCGCAAUGGGCGAAAGCCUGACGGAGCAACGCCGCGUGAGUGAUGAAGGUCUUCGGAUCGGAAAACUCUGUUAUUAGGGAAGAACAAAUGUGUAAGUAACUAUGCACGUCUUGACGGUACCUAAUCAGAAAGCCACGGCUAACUACGUG
rnacentral:rRNA from 1 species